rnacentral:rRNA from 1 species
UGGGGAAUUUUGGACAAUGGGCGCAAGCCUGAUCCAGCCAUGCCGCGUGCGGGAAGAAGGCCUUCGGGUUGUAAACCGCUUUCAGGCGGAAAGAAAUCGUCAGGGCUAAUAACCCUGAUGGAUGACGGUACCGUCAGAAGAAGCACCGGCUAACUACGUGCCAGCAGCCGCGGUAAUACGUAGGGUGCGAGCGUUAAUCGGAAUUACUGGGCGUAAAGCGUGCGCAGGCGGCUUUUUAAGCCAGACGUGAAAUCCCCGGGCUUAACCUGGGAACUGCGUUUGGAACUGGAAAGCUAGAGUGUGUCAGAGGGGGGUGGAAUUCCACGUGUAGCAGUGAAAUGCGUAGAGAUGUGGAGGAACACCGAUGGCGAAGGCAGCCCCCUGGGAUAACACUGACGCUCAUGCACGAAAGCGUGGGGAGCAAACAGG